UGGGGUCUAGCUCAAAUGGCAGAGCGCGCGCUUCGCAUGCGUGAAGUACGGGAUCGAUACCCCGGUCCUCCA